rnacentral:rRNA from 1 species
GACGAACGCUGGCGGCGUGCCUAAUACAUGCAAGUCGAACGCUGAAGGAGGAGCUUGCUUCUCUGGAUGAGUUGCGAACGGGUGAGUAACGCGUAGGUAACCUGCCUUGUAGCGGGGGAUAACUAUUGGAAACGAUAGCUAAUACCGCAUAAGAGUAGAUGUCGCAUGACAUUUUCUUAAAAGGUGCAAUUGCAUCACUACCAGAUGGACCUGCGUUGUAUUAGCUAGUUGGUGAGGUAACGGCUCACCAAGGCAACGAUACAUAGCCGACCUGAGAGGGUGAUCGGCCACACUGGGACUGAGAGUGGGCCCAGACGCCUGAGGGGGGCAGCAGUAGGGAAUCUUCGGCAAUGGAGGGAAGUCUGACCGAGCAACGCCGCGUGAGUGAAGAAGGUGUUCGGAUCGUAAAGCUCUGUUGUAAGAGAAGAACGAGUGUGAGGGUGGAAAGUUCACACUGUGACGGUAUCUUACCAGAAAGGGACGGCUAACUACGUG